AGGGUUACAGCACCACCUAGUGGCAGAGAGAAGCCCAGUAGCGAAUUUUAUUUCUCUACCCCUUGCCCUACUUACACCUAUUCUACCUGCACCGCAAUGAUGCACCUGGAAAAGAGCAAGUGCAGCAGAUGAAUCCUGCUGGCACUGCCUGUUUGCUCAUCUGAGUAACGCCAGGCACUGGGUAUUAUAUCGGUACCUAGCAGCUCCUGAGUACAAGUUCUAUGGCCCUAUACAGCAUUUUACAAAUUUUUUUGAUCAUCUCAGCAGCACUCCGAGUUAGAAAAUUAUCCCCACUUUGCAGAUGUUGGGCUGGGGGAGGUCAGGGGUGAGAGUGCUUAGUCCUAAAUUGGGUAGGGACUAGAUAACUGAAUCGAAUUAUCGAGUCAUGGAGUCCCAGGCCAGAAGGGAUCAUUGUGAUCCAACACAGGCCAUUGAACUUUUCCAGAACAAUUCCUAGAGCAUUAGGGUGUUAAGGAUCCCAUUGUCACCAUUCCUGGCCCAAUUAUAACAGUCACCACUGGACAGUAUGGAGCUAACCGUGCAGAAAGGGAUGGCUGGUACCUUGGUUCAUUAUUAUUAAUAUAUAUGCUUGUGUGGAGGUUUUGCUCAUGUCAUACCAGGCAUGGUUAUAGAAAGAAGGGGUGGGAAUGCUUUUAAGAACCAGGAGCAGCUGUACAAAGAUCCAAAGCCCUUCAGAGUUUCUCUAGCUAUUCAAUUCCAGAUCAUCUCUGGACGGAUGAGAAGGAAUUUAUAUCUGGAUGGAAAAGCAACUUAAACGGGUUCCCAUAUCUGUUCCUAUACCUAGCUCAGUGUCUCCCCUAACGUAAAUGUGGGUGCUGCAGAGAGCGAUUUUUCACUGUGCAGGCAGAGCGAAUGAGAAUAGGUUUGAUAAAUGAGUCUGAAAUCCGUAUCCUUCCCAUUCCCAUCCCGCUUGGCAGAAAAGAUUACAAGCCACCCAACAGCGUCUGUCUCCACAGUGCACUGAGCUUGCCGCCGCCAAGUCGGAGCAGUUUGCGAAAUGGAAACCUGGGUUGUUUGGGAAGGAAAGGGACAAGGUGAACCACCUUGCCCUGGCUAGUCGGCUGGGAUGGGAAGGCAGUACCUACCGCUGCCCCCUCUUCCUGUGGUGGGGGGAUGUUCUGCCCUUCCAGGGAGAGAGGCCUGUUUCUUAGCUGAUCUCUUCAGGUUUUAGCAGUAGUGGGAUCUCCAUAGAAAUAUCUAUCUUGCUGCACCUAAUGUGUGUCUCUCACCUGCAAUGCACUCCCGCUGAGAGCUUUAAUCCUGUUGCAUAGGGGUGAAUCAUGGAAUUAAUUUUAGUUAAUUACUCUCUGUAAUAUGUGUCUUGUGCCCGGUAUUUAAAUUUCUGGGUGUUCCUCCAGCUGAAGAGAACAUGCUUAAACGGGCUGCUCGCCAAACACAAUCUUUUUUUUUUUUUGAAUUCCACUAUUCAUCCAAAUUGUGCUGUGGGCAGGCAGCAGGUGAGUGAGAGAGCACACAGAAGUACUUGAGAUACGCUGGGGUGUGGCCAAGCUUUCGUUCCCCCUGCUCCCCGAUCCCUGGCCAUAAGAUCCCUGGCCAUAAGAGACUCCGGGCAGUUUCCCAUGGCCUCACUCUGGGGAACACCACCACCCCAAGGCUGUUCAGGGACAUCAUGGUACCUUUGGGGCUUAGAAGAUCCCUUCCUUACUGCAGGAAGUUUUAAAUGUGCUUACGAGAAUUCAGGGGUAGGAGAUAGCUGAGUAACUACAAUCUCAGGGGCUCCCCAUCUGUAAAACUGGCCCAGUUCCCUCACAUCUUUUGAGCUACAUUGUCUUGCUAAGGCUUUGCCUAAGGAGCUGGGGAACUGCCCAGGUGAGAGGAAGCUGUAACUUGCCAACCACCAGUGCUGCAGGUAGAAUUGAUCAGGGAACAAUGACCCCAAGUCGGCACUUGGUUCUGCAGUCCUGUGCAAUGUGUAUGCUGUUACCAUCAAUGGGGAUUAGGUGUAUGCACCCAGGCUGCAGGACAGAGUGGGUCUUUCCAGCCUGCCCCAUUCACCACAGUCCUUUCCCCAAAGGAUUUCCCGCUGCAGCUGCUUUGCACAGGGCCAGGAUGGUAACAGUUUUAACGGGAGGGUGGCUUCUCUUCCCUUUUCUUCUGCUCACUUUUUCACUUACACCCGCCUUCCCUCAACUUGAGCCCUGACUACAGGUGAAUAAACUGCCUGCUGGUUCUGCUUCCUUGCCUUCCCCAGCUGAUGGCACAGAGGAGGUCACAAGUCACUGGAAAUAAAGGGGACCCUUAAAGAGGAGACUGUCAUUGCCCAGAUGGCUGGGCAGAGAGAAGGUGCGUCAUGAGGGUGGGUGGCAUUCCAGCCUGGGUCAGUUUUCAGUGAUGUGGCCCAGGUGCUGAGAUUUACAGCGUGGCCACUUUUCCUGAUUGUUUUUUGUCAUCUCUUGCUGCAGUCGGGGAAGCGGAUGGGAACUACGGGGAAGGGUGAAUGGUUUAUCCGAGUUUUGAUUUCAGAUUAGUAAAUUCCAUGGUGUGCCUGUAAGGCACUGGAGAGAGACUACGCUGAUGGCUGGAAGGAGACCAGUGCUUUGUGCUAGGCAUGGCCUGCAGCUGGACAAACAAAGUUGCCUUCUUGAGAGUAGUGCAGCAGCACGUCCCCAUCUGUGCAGCUGUGUGUGUGGGUGGGUGUAAGAGCCUACAGCCCCGAUCCUGCAUAUGCUGACCUUUACACACCAGAGCUGCUCCUUUGGGGGUAAGGCAUUUGCAGGAUCAAGGCCUCUGUUUGCUGACCAUGAUGCAGGGCUCAUCUUUUCAGCAGAGCGGUCGCCUGAGCUUGGUCCGACUAUGGCGGUUUUCCCUGGAUCCAGUGGGAGGAGCUUCUGGGGCUGUGCAGGAUUCUCCUCUGCCAGGAGCCAGCAAAAGUUGAAGAUCCCAUGAUCUUGCUACACCCUUUCUGUGUCGAGCCGCUGGGGUACCCCACGGAUGGGGGCUUGCACAAAGGGGCUUCAGAAUCCAGGGCUGGAGCCAUCACAAGCUGUUACCACAGGCGUUUUAUUCAAUUGACUCUCCCCACAGUAAUAAGGUGCUUUAAUUAUCGCCAGAGGCUGCAAGUGAAGGCACCAUCCCAUUUGUAGCAGCAUCUCAUCAUGGCAGGAGGGAGUGGGGCAAUGAGAGGACCUAGAAGGAGCAAAGCCCAAAUGAUCUCCAUGACUAGCACAACUAGCAGGAGAGUUCACAGCAGGACAAGGGAAAGGCUGAACUGAACGGGGCCCCGAUUCAGAAAGGGAUGCAAGCCAGCACCUAACUAACUCUAAACAGCAGUUGCUGAGGCCACAGUGUGUGUGUGGAAAGAGCCAGGACACUUCACAACUGUGUGCUAUUUAAACAGAAAACAUGCAAGAUUUUGUUGCCGGGGUGGGGGGAGGAGGAUCAAAUGAAAGGCAUGGUGCGCUUUUACUUUGACUCUGCCUCCGACCCGAAGCGAACAAAGGCAACAUUAUACCUUGUGCUGGAAAAGGAGUGACUUGGAUGCACAUGCAGAGCAGUUCCUGCAUGCUGGGCUCCUUAUAAAUAUCCCCAUUGGUAAAGGCUGAAGUCAAGCUGACUGCAGAAUGAUCUGCCCACCUAAUAAAUAUGUGAAUGAAAGCGGAAGGCGUAUUUUUUUUUCUCCCUUCUGCACAUGGAUUCCUGGUGUUUUUCAGGUGAGGCAGCGAUGUCUGCCCACAAACACACAC